UAGUCCACGCCGUAAACGAUGAGUGCUAGAUGUUGGGAUUUAUUUCAGUGUCGAAGCUAACGCGUUAAGCACUCCGCCUGGGGAGUACGAUCGCAAGAUUAAAACUCAAAGGAAUUGACGGGGACCCGCACAAGCGGUGGAGCAUGCGGUUUAAUUCGAUGAUACGCGAAGAACCUUACCAACUCUUGACAUACCUAUCGCGAUUUCCAGAAAUGGAUUUCUUCAGUUCGGCUGGAUAGGAUACAGGUGUUGCAUGGCUGUCGUCAGCUCGUGUCGUGAGAUGUUGGGUUAAGUCCCGCAACGAGCGAAACCCCUGCCCUUAUUUGCCAACAGGUUAUGCUGGGGACUAUAAGGGGACCGCCGGUUGUAAGCCGGAGGAAGGUGGGGACGAUGUCAAGUCAUCAUGGGCCCUUACGGGGUUGGGGCUACACGCGUGCUACAAUGGGCAAUUACAAUGAGAUGCAAGAUCGUGAGGGUGGGAGC
rnacentral:rRNA from 1 species